CGCUGCCACCGAAUCGUCCAGCGAGGAGGCCCGGGACACCGGAUCUGGCGAUCCCGGCCUUCCCGUCGAUGGAUCCGGUUGGAUGGU
rnacentral:pre_miRNA from 1 species